rnacentral:rRNA from 1 species
AUUAUUGCACAAUGGAGGAAACUCUCAUGCCGCCACGCCCCGUGAGGGAAGAAGGUCUNCGGAUUNUNAGCCUCUGUCUUUGGGGNCGACAAUGUUGGUCCCCAAGGAGGAAGCCACGGCUGACUACGUCCCAGCAGCCGCGGUAAUACGUAGGUGGCAAGCGUUGUCCGGAAUUACGGGGUGUAAAGGGAGCGUAGGCGGGUGCGCAAGUUGAAUGUUAAACCUAUCGGCUCAACCGAUAGUCGCGUUCAGAACUGCGUAUCUUGAGUGAAGUAGAGGCAGGUGGAAUUCCUAGUGUAGCGGUGAAAUGCGUAGAUAUUAGAAGGAACACCAGUGGCGAAGGCGGCCUGCUGGGCUUUUACUGACGCUGAGGCUCGAACGCAUGGGGAGCAAACA